UAAAAACAGCCAACCUGCUUAGAAACUGUGGUCUAGUUUGGUCACCCCCAGCCUAAACUGGUCCAGGGUAGGUGCCUGUACAAUAUUGGCUGGUAGAGAGUUCCAUAGGACAAUAGUGGCUGGAUAGAAGGAGAAUUUAUAGUAGUUGCUUGGAGUAGGGAUUUGUCUGAAUGAAAGAGGGUGCAAAUGUCUAGUGAGCCGGGUCGGAGGAGUGACAUAGGGAGGCAUUGGUACAGCAACCAGUCUGUUGACAAUUUUAUAGAACAUCAGUAGCCGGGAGUCAUACCUUCUGUUCUCAAGUGAACGCCACCCUAAUUUGUCUAGCAUGUGUGUGACACUGUUGUGAUAUGAGUAAUCAUUUGUAACCCAUCGAGCGGCCCUGCGUUGGACCAUCUCGAUCUUGUUUAUGUUGUGUUGUGUGUGUGGGCUCCACACUGAGCUACUAUACUCAAGUUGUGGGCGGACCAGGGUUUUGAAGGCAAAUUCUCUAAUGCGUGGGUGUUUUAUGGGAAUGUUUCGUUUGAUGAAGUUUAGUGUUUGACUGGCUGUUGCAGUAACCUGGUUUAUGUGUUUAUUCCAGCUGAGGUCAGAUGUGAUGCUAACACCCAAGUAUUUAGCAUCACUAACUGUUUCUAGAAUAUGACCGUGGAGUGUGUAAGUGGAUUUGUAGGGACGUUUUGACCUGGUGAUGUUCAUAACCGUACACUUGGAAGGAUUAAAUUCCAUAUCCCAAGUGUGUUCCCAUUUUUGUAGCCGAUCUAGAUCUUCUUGCAGGGUAUUUUGUUCAGUGGGAUUGUUGACCGUGAUGUAGACAGCAGUGUCAUCAGCAAAUAACCGGACCUGUGACACUAUGUUUUCUGGCAGAUCGUUUAUGUAGAGCAAGAAGAGGAGAGGGCCGAGAACAGAGCCCUGGGGGACACCUGAUGUGACUGGAACCUCGUCUGAAUUGUCACCAUUUACCAAGACAGACUGAAGUCGACCUAUAAGGAAAGAUUUGACCCAUUGUAAUGUACUAUCUUGGAUGCCGUGUUGGUGCAGUUUGUAGAGUAACUUCAUGUGAUUGACCUUGUCGAACGCUUUCGAGAAAUCCAGGAGUAUUAGAUCUGUUUGUUGACCAUGAAUAAGGUUCCUGGAUAAGUCCUCUACAAGUCCUAUGAGCUGUGUCUCGCAUGACAGUUUUGACCUAAAGCCAUGCUGGAGAUGGAAAAGAAUGUUGUUGACCUGGAAGUGUUUGGUGAUGUUUGAGGCGACGAUAUGUUCCAUGACUUUGCAAAGAACACAUGUCAGUGAAAUCGGCCUGUAGUUAGCAGGGUUACUUUUGUCGCCUUUUUUGAAAAGGGGGGUGACGUUCGCCUUGAUCCAGUCGGAGGGGACCGUGCCUGUGUCUAGAGAUUUUUGAAAGAUUCUGGUAACCAAGGGGGCAAUUUGUACGCUUAGAUUUUUAAGGACAAUAGGCUUGAUAUUGUCAGGGCCGCAAGCUUUGCCAGUCUGCAAGUUGGACAGAAGCUUUUGGACACCACUUACACUUAUGGAGAUUUCGGGCAUUUUGGAGUAUUUUGUCUUAGGGGUGUUUCUAAACAGGGUUUGGGCUUUCAUUAAACAGAGUUGACCUAAUUUUAGAGGAUUCAUUGGGGUGAAGACGGACUGAAAUUGGCGAUUGAGGAAGUUUGCUUGACCCUUGCUAUCAGUGAUAAGAUUAUCAUUUUCCAGUAGAGGAGCGAUACCUUGGGUAUCCUGUUUAGCAUUUUUGAUUGUGGAGAAGAGCUUCUUACGGGAGAAAUUUUGACCUAUGUGGGGGGUGUCUGGAUCACCGGACUGCGCUUCGAGUACGUAUUCAAGGAUACUUUGGGUGAUCCAGGGAAGAGAGGGUUUUGAUCCUAACCUCUUUGAGGGAAUAAAGAGGUUUGAUCCCUCUCGGAGAAGGUCCUUGAAUUCAGUCCAUAGCUCUUCGAUGGACUUA